UACAGAGGGGGCAAGCGUUAUUCGGAAUUACUGGGGCGUAAAGCGUGCGUAGACGGUUACAUAAGUCGGGGUGUGAAAGCCCCGGGCUCAACCUGGGAAUUGCAUUCGAGACUGCGUAGCUAGGGUGCGGAAGAGGGAAGCGGAAUUUCCGGUGUAGCGGUGAAAUGCGUAGAUAUCGGAAGGAACACCAGUGGCGAAAAGCGGCUUCCUGGUCCAGCACCGACGUCAGGCACGAAAGCGUGGGGAGCAAACAGG
rnacentral:rRNA from 1 species